AUGUCGCGGCACGGCGUCUUGCCCGACCAAGAGGACAGGAUCGAUCUCUCGCCCGCCACACUUCUCCCCAAGGUGAGAGCUUACGAGAUGGCAGGAGGUGAGCACGCCAAAGGAUUAGCUGAGCUCAAGAUUGUGGAAGGGGCAAUCGGGAAUCUGAGCAGGGAGGCAUUGCCAGGGCCGGUGUAUGGGUUCCAGGAGGUAGGUCUGGCGGAAGCACUUCUGCACAACUUGGCGAGGUGUCAGUUCGAGACCCCGACUCCGUUGCAGUGCUACUCGAUCCCGAUGGUGCUGGCCGGCCGGGACCUGUUGGUUUGCGCGCACAAGGGGUCCGGGAAGACGACCGCCUUACUCAUCCCGGUGUUGAGUGGGCUGGUGACGGCGCCGGUAGCAGCAGCAAGAACAAAACCACGCGCGCUCUUGCUCGUGCCUACCGCCAGGCUUGCAAAACAGAUUGGUGCUGAUAUCAGGAAAUUCUCUUACCGAACUGGAAUAAGAGUUCAUUCAAAGAUGAAAGGGAAGAUGCAGAAAUGUCAGCUUGAAGCGAGCAUUGAUAUAGUUGUUUCUACACCCCUACGUCUUAUCAACAUGGUUAGAACCUCUCAAGUCUCCCUUGAGGCAGUAAAGUAUCUGGUCAUAUGCGAGCUUGGUUUGAUGCUGGAUAUGGGGUUUGAAAAAAUGUUAAGGAAGAUAGUUGAUGACAUGCAUAUUCCACCGAAAUCUGCCAGACAUACUUUACUUUCCAGUGGUACUUUCCAACCAGCAGUACAGAAACUGGCUUGGGAUUUCUUGUCAGAUUACUUAUUUAUCACCGAUGGGAGGUUGGAGUUCAGUAUUGGCCUAACUAAGCAGAAAAUUGAGCUUGCCUCUGAAGCAGAGAAAAGAGGCCUCCUGCUAAAUCUGUUACAGAAGCAAUCCGUCUCUUCUGCCGGCAUGAGCCAACUCAUAACAGUAGUUUUUGUCGAGACAAAAGGAAAGGCUGAUUCAUUGAAGAAUUGGCUAUGCAAUGAAGGUUUUCCUGCAACAGUGAUCUUUGCUGACAGUUCACAGCAGGCAUAUGCAGCCUCACCAGGCUUGGACGUUGCAAAUGUUGAUCAUUUGAUUAACUAUGAUCUUCCAAAGUCUGUUGAGGAAUAUGUUGAGAGGAUUAGAACAUUUGGGAGAGUUGGUUCUGCCACUUCCUUCUUCACUGAGUCCAACCGGUCCAUAGCAAAAGGCUUGCUGGAAUUGAUGAUUGAGGCAAAUGUAGAAGUGCCAGAUUGGCUGUUGGACUAUGCUAAUCCUGAUUAUACUUGUAGAUCUGUGGAAUUGGACUCAAAAGAUGAGGAGAAUGAUAAGUACAGAUAUGAUUUAGCUCGGUCUCUCGCCUCACGCAAGAUUGAUAACAUAUACGAUCUGGCAGGUGUUUGGGCUGAAUUAAAUUGCAGGAGAAAUAAGCAAAGCUUUGAUGAUAGUAGGAUCACGACAAUGUCUAAAGAUUGUUGUAUUGCAUUUACACAACAAGAAGAAUACAAGUUCCUCAAGUUCUAUUUCGUCAAGGUUACUCAGCAUUGUUAUAGCCCUGAAAGUUAUGGAAAAACCUAUUGGCAUUACAAUUUCAUUGCCAAGAUUAAGAGUAAAUCAGGAAUCUGGACUGAAGGUAUCUACUUUGCUGAAAGAAAAUUAGAAUGUGGUGUGGAGACAUUUUGUUGCUGUUUCCUGGAGCCGUCAGACAAUGGUGAGUGCUAUGGAUGUCAACAUGGGAAGGUGAAGGUUCGGCAUCCAACUAGAGGUGACUAUGAGAGAGGAACACCUGAUCAUGUUUGGCUUUCCGAUGGUGACUGUGAAAUUAGUGAUGAUGAUAUGGUGGACUUCUAA
rnacentral:rRNA from 1 species